AUUGAACGCUGGCGGCAUGCCUUACACAUGCAAGUCGAACGGCAGCACGGGUGCUUGCACCUGGUGGCGAGUGGCGAACGGGUGAGUAAUACAUCGGAACAUGUCCUGUAGUGGGGGAUAGCCCGGCGAAAGCCGGAUUAAUACCGCAUACGAUCUACGGAUGAAAGCGGGGGACCUUCGGGCCUCGCGCUAUAGGGUUGGCCGAUAGCUGAUUAGCUAGUUGGUGGGGUAAAGGCCUACCAAGGCGACGAUCAGUAGCUGGUCUGAGAGGACGACCAGCCACACUGGGACUGAGACACGGCCCAGACUCCUACGGGAGGCAGCAGUGGGGAAUUUUGGACAAUGGGCGAAAGCCUGAUCCAGCAAUGCCGCGUGUGUGAAGAAGGCCUUCGGGUUGUAAAGCACUUUUGUCCGGAAAGAAAUCCUUGGCUCUAAUACAGUCGGGGGAUGACGGUACCGGAAGAGUAAGCACCGGCUAACUACGUG
rnacentral:rRNA from 1 species